rnacentral:rRNA from 1 species
AUGCUUGGUUACCUCGUAAUUUCAAGGCGAAGGGGAUGGCAACAGGAUGCGCUUGUCUCAGGUUGUCCAGUAUAUCUACAUGUGUACAAGGCAUACUCGCUUCUUAGGUCGAAGAAGUGGGUGGUGCGGUCAGGUUUGCGGUAUGGCGCGGAUUUUGUAGCACAUCGUGAUCACCCAGCUAUUGUCCACUCAGAAUUUGCUGUGGUUGUUGUUCCAGACGGCGUGAAGUUUGGUGAAAGGUGUGGUCGUUUCAAAGCCACCCUAAUGCACCGCUUUAACAUGGCAUAUACUCCCUCCGUUUCCAAAUAUAAGUCUUUUUAG